GCAGUGAUGAUUCAGUGUUAAAAUUCUCACCUUCCAUGUGAAUGGCCCAGGUUCAAUUCCUGGCCCAUGUA
rnacentral:tRNA from 1 species